rnacentral:lncRNA from 1 species
ACAAUCUCCCUCUCACCCUCUGGUCCGUUCCUUCACUCUGCUCUCAAUUCUAUCAUCUCAUCAGGUGCAGAUCAAAGCUCGGACAAAACCAUGGCUGAAAAGGUAUGUGCAUGGAUGGAUGGAUGUGGGGAUUUUGAUAUAUUUCCUUCUUCUUCUUUUCUUGGUUUCGAUUUAUCUUUUAUUUAGCCCAUUCAUGUGGGUUUUUCUUCUUUUUACGUGGUGUGGUCAUUGUUUUUGGCCCUAUGGACCUCAUCUUCUUUUUAAUUUUCUUUACUGAUCAAUAUCCUUCCAUGUCAGAAAGUGUUCCGGUCCUUUCAAUAUUCUUCCUGGCUUAGAAAUUAUGUCCUUGUGUUUAAUUAUGUGCUCAUAUUGCAGAAAGUCACAAUAAUGGUGAUCAAGGUUGACCUUGAAUGUGAGAAAUGCCACAAGAAAAUCAAGAAAGUACUGUGUAGGAUCCCUCGUGAGUGCCUCUUUCUCCAUUUACUAUAACUUAGUUUGAGCUGUUUUAAGAUGAAAGGAAAGUGGCUAAGUUGUUUUUGUGGAUUGUGAACAAGAGAAAUUCAGAGCCAGAUAUAUGACACGAAGGCAGGCACAGUGACCAUCACUGUGGUAUGUUGCAGUCCUGAAAAGAUCAAGGAAAAGAUAAUCUGUAAGGGAGGUGAAGCUGUCAAGAGCAUUGAGAUCAAGGUUCCAGAGAAACCCAAAGCAGCACCAGAGAAACCCAAACAACCGGAGAAGCCGAAAGAACCUGAGAAGCCUAAGCAACCAGAGAAGCCGAAAGAACCGGAGAAGCCGAAAGAACCGGAGAAGCCGAAAGAACCUGAGAAGCCCAAGCAACCAGAGAAGCCGAAAGAACCGGAGAAACCCAAAGAACCAGAGAAGGCCAAAGAACCGGAGAAGCCUAAAGCGCUUCUUGUUGAACAACCAAAACCCAAAGAACCGGCCCCAAACCCAGCUCCAAACCCGGCACCACCACCACCACCACCUAAAGCUCCGGAACCAGUCCACCCGAGGACAUGUUGUGCUGAAUGCUACCAUGGGAUUAGUGGAGGCCCAUGUUAUCAUGACUAUGGUGGGCCAGCACCCCCAAGUUAUGAAGCUUAUGGAAGGCCAGUGUAUGAUAAUUGGGGUGGCGGCGGCGGCGGCGGCGGCUGUGGUUGCCAAAGAAGCGGUUACUAUGUGUGCAGAUGCGAAUAUGUCUGUGAAGAUAAUCCCUCGUCAUGCUCAAUCAUGUGAAAGCGUCUAGAAUGUCGAUAUUGCCUUAAGCCGAUUUCCACCAAAAAUCACUGGAUUUGGACAGUAGUAUGGUGUCGAUAUGAUCAAAUCAAACAAUAGCAUUACUCAUGCUCAUGUCAUAACCUUGUCUAGCUAGUCAGUUUUGGCUGCAUAUUGGGUCUUCUUCCUUCGUUAUAGAGAUUUUAUGUGAUACAAUAAGGUUGGUGAUGUGGGAACAAUAUUUUAUUACAGGUUUACAAAUGUUAAGAUUUUUAAUAAAUUAACAAAAGGGAUUUUAAAGCUUCCAUAAUAAUCAUUGCUAUUUGUAUAUAUAGUGAUGGUGCAUCCCAGCAUCUCCUUUCCAUUCACUUUCCAUUUGCUUUCUUUAAUUUCUGACAGUAACUGAUCGAUGGCUUUUGUUUGCAAGCUUCGCUGUCAGAAAUUUAGGUGAUGCAUGAUCCAUCUAGAUAAUGGAAUGUGGACUGUCGUGAUUCCAUCAUUGUACUUGGCGAUAAGAAUUCUACCAUGAAUGAGCAGUUCCCUUCCCUCUCUUGAUUUGUUGAUAUGAGAUUUAUGUAAAGUUGCCGACUACGAAAUUUAUAUGAGUUGCUCUCUAAACACUAACAUUAUUGAAAAUAUAUUAAAAUAAAAUAUAUACUUUUUAUUUUUCAAAAUUCAUUCUUAUACCAAUAUAUCAAAACAAUCAAAAUAUAUAUAUAUAUAUAUAUAUAAGAUUUUUAAAAAAUACAGUUGAUCGUAAUUUCAAACGAUUAGUUAAACCUGCCUCCGCUUUCAAAGUUGGCACUCAUGGACGCAACUUCUGGGCCCACAAUUUGUUAUCUUUCUUCUUUAUGUCAACACAUAGGGAUGAGGGGAUAGCCAUCCCUAAUUUCUUAACGACUUGGGUUUCAUAUCAUUAUAAUUAUACAGAUUUUUGUCGUUUAGAUUACAUGAAGUAUUCCAUGGUGAUGAUAGGAAUUAGUAAUAAUUUAUUAAUUAUUUUAUAAGAUGUACUUUUUGAAAAAAUAUAAAUACAAGAGAGAGUAAUACAAAUAUCUCAACAUAUUAAUUAUUUUUUUCUUAUUAUCGUUAAAAUUAUGUGUUGUUAGUGUAGAACGGAGGAUAAAAAUAAGAAUAUAAAAUAAAUUGUUUUUGUAAUAAUUAAAAAAAAUUAUAUACUUUCAAAAUAAUAAAUAUAAUAAUUCAAGUUUUCUAUGUUUUAAUCACGAAACAACAAUCAAACACCGGCUAAAUUCUUUUAACAUGAGAUAUGGAAAUAUUAAUUGAAGAUUUUUAUUUUUUUAUGGGGAAUUUUUUGGGACACGUGUAAGGUUGUCAUGGGGUUUGCAUGGCUCGUUUAUGACAUGACUAUACUAAUGCACCGUAGGAUGCACUACAACCUUCGAAAUGAUUAACAAAAUUGAAGGUGAGACGUGUCCAUAAAAGCCAGCACAUGCACAUGCAGGAUUAGAGGGUCAGCAAUAAAAAAUAAAACGACAAUAUGACGUCAAGCUCAACACCCAACCCCACGUGUUCUCUUCUUAUUGGCCUCUAGAUGCACGGUAUUUAAAACAUGGUCUCACACUUCUACUACUUAAGUUGUGAUCAAUCUUAAUUUUACAAGCGUCUUUUUUGUGUCUCAAAUCUCCCUCUCACCCUCUGGUCGGUUCCUUCACUCUGCUCUCAAUUCUAUCAUCUCAUCAGGUCCAGAUCAAAGCUUAGACAAAACCAUGGCUGAAAAGGUAUGUGCAUGGAUGGAUGUGGAUAUUUUGAUAUAUUUUCCUUCUUCUCUUGGUUUAGAUUUAUCUUUUAUUAAUUAGCCCAUUCAUGUGGGUUUUUCUUCUUUUCAUGUGGUGAUCAUUGUCUUUGGCCCUAUGGAGUAUGGACCUCAUCUUCUUGUUCAUCAUCUUUACUGAUCAAUAUCCUUCCAUGUCAGAAAGUGUUCCGGUCCUUUCAAUAUUCU